rnacentral:rRNA from 1 species
GGAGGAAUCUUGCACAAUGGGCGAAAGCCUGAUGCAGCGACGUCGCGUGCGGGAAGAAGGCCUUCGGGUCGUAAACCGCUUUUCUGGGGGACGAGCAAGGACGGUACCUCAGGAAUAAGUCCCGGCUAACUACGUGCCAGCAGCCGCGGUAAUACGUAGGGGGCAAGCGUUAUCCGGAAUUACUGGGCGUAAAGGGUGUCUAGGCGGCAAAGCAAGUCUUGCGUGAAAGCUCCCGGCUCAACUGGGAGAG